UAGUCCACGCCGUAAACGAUGGACACUAGUUGUUGGGCAUUAGCUCAGUGACCAAGCGAAAGUGAUAAGUGUCCCACCUGGGGAGUACGAUCGCAAGAUUGAAACUCAAAGGAAUUGACGGGGGCCCGCACAAGCGGUGGAGCAUGUGGUUUAAUUCGAUGAUACGUGAGGAACCUUACCAGGGCUUAAAUGUGGUCUGACAGCUUUAGAGAUAGAGUUUUCUUCGGACAGAUCACAAGGUGCUGCAUGGUUGUCGUCAGCUCGUGCCGUGAGGUGUUAGGUUAAGUCCUGCAACGAGCGCGACCCCUAUCAUUAGUUGCUAACAGGUUAAGCUGAGGACUCUAAUGAGACUGCCGGUGCAAACCGCGAGGAAGGUGGGGAUGACGUCAAAUCAUCACGGCCCUUACGUCCUGGGCUACACACGUGCUACAAUGGCAGGUACAGAGGGCAGCUACCCCGCGAGGGGAUGCGAAUCUUCAAAGCCUGUCUCAGUUCGG
rnacentral:rRNA from 1 species